GUCAAGCGAAAACAAGCACGAUAGGAUUGGAUUGCGAUCUCAAGUUGGGCCCUUGGAUGCAGAAAGUUGUGUGGGAUUCGAUGUUAAAAUGUCGCAAACCCAAAGCGUUGUACGCUGAUGAUGGAUGACAUUCGUGUGCGUUGUGACUCUUUCUUGUUUGAAAGGGCUCAUGCGUGCCGAUGUUGACCGAGGAGUGCUACCUGGUUGAUCCUG
rnacentral:misc_RNA from 1 species